UUAAAAGAUGGGCCUAUACAGGAUUAGGUAGUUGGUGGGGUAAAGGCUUACCAAGCCUUCGAUCCUUAGCUGGUUUGAGAGAAUGAUCAGCCACACUGGAACUGAGACAAGGAACAGGCUCUUUCGAGAGACAGCAGUGAAGAAUCUUGGACAAUGAGCGCAAGCUUGAUCCAGCUAUAUCUCGCAUAAGAUCAGAAGUACUUUAUAAGUAUGUAAACUAUUAUCGUUUAUUCACAUUAGAUUUAAAUGAAAGUUUAAGUUUAUAGGAGGGAAUAAAAAAGAGGUUGUGUUUAAGAAGCGUGCCAGCAAACGCGGUUAUACGUUCACAGCAAGCGAUAUCCGCAUUAGCUGGGUCUAAAACGUAUGUAGGUGGCUUUUUAAGUUUUUUGUGAAAACCUUUAUUGAUAAUAAAGAAAUACAAAAAAGACUGAGAAGCUUGAGAAUGGUAAGAAGAUUACAGAAUUGAUUAUGGAGGGGUGAAAUCCAUUGAUAUAAUCAGGAAUACCAGCGGCGAAGGCGGUAAUCUAUAACAUUUCUGACAUUGAGAUACGAAAGCAUUGGGAGCGAUAAGGAUUAGAUACCCUUGUAGUCAAUGCUGUCAACGAUGAUUAUUAAAUGUUGGGUCAUUCUAAAAGGAAAAGAUUCAGUGUUACAGCGAAGGCGUUAAAUAAUCUACCGGGAGAGUACGAUCGCAAGAUUAAAACCUAAAGGAAUUGUCGGGGAUCUAUAUCAGCAGUGGAUCGUUCUUGUUUAAUGCGAUUCUACACGCAAACCUUACCAGAUCUUGAAUUUAACCUUUGAUUUAUCUUUAAAAGUGAUGGCAAGAGUCAAAAGCUUUUAAAGUCAUCAAUAGAAACAAGAAUUGCAUGGCUGUUGUCAGCUCGUGUCUUGAGAUGUCCGGUUAAUUCCUUUCAACGAGCGCAACCCAAAUUGCUUCUGUUAUCAUAAUGUUAUAUUAAAUAACUUGAUAAUAACCUAAAGCAUAUUGCCAAAGAUAAUUUGGAUGAAAGUUUGGAUGACAACAAGUCCUCAUGGUCUCUAUGAUCUGGGCUACAAAGGCGAUACAAUGGUAACUAUAGAAAGAGGCAAAAACGUGAGUUGGAGCAAUUCUUUAAUGGUUUAUCUAAGUUCGGAUUGAACUCUGAAACUUGAGUUCAUGAAGCUGAAAUUGCUAGUAAUCGAAGAUCAGAAUGCUUCGGUGAAUUUCUCUAGAUCUUGAACAUACUGCCCAUCAAAAACGGGACGAUUUUUAUGCUUUAAAUAUU
rnacentral:rRNA from 1 species